GAUCGGAUAGAUAUGGCUUCAGAAAG
rnacentral:piRNA from 1 species